UGGAGGGAAGGUGGGGAUGUCGUCAAGUCAUCAUGGCCCUUACGGCCUGGGCUACACACGUGCUACAAUGGUCGGUACAGAGGGUCGCCAAUCCGCGAGGUGGAGCUAAUCUCACAAAACCGAUCGUAGUCCGGAUCGCAGUCUGCAACUCGACUGCGUGAAGUCGGAAUCGCUAGUAAUCGCGAAUCAGAAUGUCGCGGUGAAUACUUUCCCGGGCCUUGUACACACCGCCCAUCACACCAUGGGAGUGGGUUGCACCAGAAGUAG
rnacentral:rRNA from 1 species